AACAUGCACCUUGAGCUGGAUGGGUUCUAUUGGGCUUGCAUUAUCUCGUACACGUAUUCAGGCGGCGGACGGGUGAGUAACACGUGGGCAACCUGCCUGUAAGACUGGGAUAACUUCGGGAAACCGGAGCUAAUACCGGAUAAUCCUUUCCCUCACAUGAGGGAAAGCUGAAAGACGGUUUCGGCUGUCACUUACAGAUGGGCCCGCGGCGCAUUAGCUAGUUGGUGAGGUAACGGCUCACCAAGGCAACGAUGCGUAGCCGACCUGAGAGGGUGAUCGGCCACACUGGGACUGAGACACGGCCCAGACUCCUACGGGAGGCAGCAGUAGGGAAUCUUCCGCAAUGGACGAAAGUCUGACGGAGCAACGCCGCGUGAACGAUGAAGGCUUUCGGGUCGUAAAGUUCUGUUGUCAGGGAAGAACAAGUACCGGAGUAACUGCCGGUACCUUGACGGUACCUGACCAGAAAGCCACGGCUAACUACGUGCCAGCAGCCGCGGUAAUACGUAGGUGGCAAGCGUUGUCCGGAAUUAUUGGGCGUAAAGCGCGCGCAGGCGGUUCCUUAAGUCUGAUGUGAAAGCCCCCGGCUCAACCGGGGAGGGUCAUUGGAAACUGGGGAACUUGAGUGCAGAAGAGGAGAGCGGAAUUCCACGUGUAGCGGUGAAAUGCGUAGAGAUGUGGAGGAACACCAGUGGCGAAGGCGGCUCUCUGGUCUGUAACUGACGCUGAGGCGCGAAAGCGUGGGGAGCGAACAGGAUUAGAUACCCUGGUAGUCCACGCCGUAAACGAUGAGUGCUAAGUGUUAGAGGGUUUCCGCCCUUUAGUGCUGCAGCAAACGCAUUAAGCACUCCGCCUGGGGAGUACGGCCGCAAGGCUGAAACUCAAAGGAAUUGACGGGGGCCCGCACAAGCGGUGGAGCAUGUGGUUUAAUUCGAAGCAACGCGAAGAACCUUACCAGGUCUUGACAUCCUCUGACAACCCUAGAGAUAGGGCGUUCCCCUUCGGGGGACAGAGUGACAGGUGGUGCAUGGUUGUCGUCAGCUCGUGUCGUGAGAUGUUGGGUUAAGUCCCGCAACGAGCGCAACCCUUGAUCUUAGUUGCCAGCAUUCAGUUGGGCACUCUAAGGUGACUGCCGGUGACAAACCGGAGGAAGGUGGGGAUGACGUCAAAUCAUCAUGCCCCUUAUGACCUGGGCUACACACGUGCUACAAUGGAUGGAACAAAGGGUCGCGAAGCCGCGAGGUGAAGCCAAUCCCAUAAAUCCAUUCUCAGUUCGGAUUGCAGGCUGCAACUCGCCUGCAUGAAGCCGGAAUCGCUAGUAAUCGCGGAUCAGCAUGCCGCGGUGAAUACGUUCCCGGGCCUUGUACACACCGCCCGUCACACCACGAGAGUUUGUAACACCCGAAGUCGGUGGGGUAACCUUUUGGAGCCAAUCGCGUAAGAGUGCAGCCGAUGAUCGGGGGAAGUCUUAAAAGACCCUUUG
rnacentral:rRNA from 2 species